rnacentral:rRNA from 1 species
CGGCCGAUGGUAACCGUUUUUAUUGGGUUUAAAGGGUCCGUAGCCGGCUUACUAAGUCUCUUGGGAAAUCUGGCGGCUCAAUCGUCAGGCGGCCAAGAGAUACUGGUAGGCUUGGGACCGGGAGAGGUGGGAGGUACUCCAGGGGUAGGGGUGAAAUCUCGUAACCCUUGGGGGACCACCGAUGGCGAAGGCAUCCCACCAGAACGGGUCCGACGGUGAGGGACGAAAGCUGGGGGCACGAACCGGAUUAGAUACCCGGGUAGUCCCAGCUGUAAACGAUGCUCGCUAGGUGUCAGGUGCGGUGCGACCGCAUCUGGUGCCGCAGUGAAAACUUGAAGCGAGUCACCUGGGAAGUUACGGUCGCAAGGCUGAAACUUAAAGGAAUUGGCGGGGGAGCACUACAACCGGUUGGACCCUGCGGUUCAAUUGGAUUCAACGCCCGGAAACUUACCGGACUCGACAGCACUAUGAAAUUCAGGCUAAAACCUUACCCGAAUUCGCUGAAAAGAAGUUGCCAUNGCCGUCCUCCAGUUCCUUAUCCGUGAG